GACGGAGGGUGCAAGCGUUGUUCGGAAUCACUGGGCGUAAAGCGCGUGUAGGCGGUUCGAUAAGUCGGACGUGAAAGCCCGGGGCUUAACCCCGGAAGGGCAUCCGAAACUGUCGAGCUUGAGUACGGGAGAGGGAAGCGGAAGUCCUGGUGUAGAGGUGAAAGUCGUAGAUAGCAGGAGGAAAACCGGUGGCGAAGGCGGCUUCAUGGACCGAUACUUAAUCGGAGACGCUAACUCUUUGUUCGCCAACAGUAUUCGAUCCCACCGGAGUCC
rnacentral:rRNA from 1 species